AUCAGAUUCUUGACUUGUCUCCAUUCUCCGCGUCUCCUCUCUCUCUUUUAAUCCCCACUCCCUCCCUAGGGUCUCUGUUGCUCGUCCGGCGGGUCGGGACAGCGCAGAAGUUAAAUCAUGUUGCUGUAGGUGUGUGCAUUUAAUUGGCAGAUUUAUCCUUCAAUAUAUGAAAAGGGGAACACAUCACCUCAUUGAACUCCUUCAUUAUUAUUCAGAUGGAGUUUCGCUUUAUCACCCAGGCUGGAGUGCAAUGGCACAAUCUCAGCUCACUGCAGCCUCUGCCUUCCUGCUUCUAGCAAUUCUCCUGCCUCCACCUCCAGGAGCUGGCAUUACCGGCAUGCAUCAUCACGUCCAGCUAAUUCUGUAUUUUUAGUAGAGACUGGGUUUCUCCAUGUUGGUCCCGCUGGUCUGGACUCCUGACCUCAGGUGAUCCGCCUGUCUCAACCUCCCAAGAAAUCUAAUAGGUUACUUAAUGAUUGGCUUUAGUGACUUUUAGAUAGACUGCCUAUGCUAAUUCACUUUACCUCCUGUAUUUAGAGCUAGGUAUAAAUACAUUUAUACCUAGCUCCAAUGUAUUUAUAAUUUCUAAGACUUUCUAAGGUGAAUUUUUAGAUAUUUAGAUUUAUUUAGUAAAUAAUUAGAAAAUAUUUACUAAAAAAAGACAGUAAUAGUAUUAUGCACUUUAUAUCUUCGAAGAAAAUAUAACGUAACUGUGCUGAGAUGCAAAAAGAGAAAAUUAUUCUAAGCAGCAUCUGGAUUAUCAAUGAACAAAUUACCAUAGCACUCUUCAGAUUUCUUUUCACCACCUGACAAAUUUCAGAAACAUUUUACAGUGCCCAUAUGGAAGGAAUUUCCAGAUGGGAAUGAAGCAUUCUGAAAUUAACAUUGGAACAUGACAGAGAUAAGAACUACCAUUUAGGAAAAAACAAAGCCUUCACAAAUGAUUCUUUUAUAUAUUCUUGAGAGCCCUCAUAAGAAUCAUCCCCAUAAAAGACUGGUGGCCAUGCUACACAACUAUAAUUCACAGGCACAUACACACAUGUACACACACAUAUUCAGGAAGAAGAAUGACAGUAAGGAGGAAAAGGGACAAGAUGCAAUCAGAGGCAAGAAAGUCCAUACAUCAAAUACUGAUACUUUAUAGGUUAGUCUAGUAGUAACUUAUUUACAUCAUUUCCCUCAUCUUGCUCAGGUACUUCAUGGAAAUGUCUGGAAUGAUGAGAUUUAUGACAUAUAUUUAAUUGAAGACCAUAGGCAUAAGGAAGUAAAAUUGGCUCUGGCCUCUUUAGUGCUGUCCCCCAGUAAUUUAACUGGCCAGUCAUGCACAUUCCAUAUUAAAUACUUUUACACAUAUAUAAUGUAAUAACAGUAAAACACAUGAAAAGUGUCUUACUAUUGGGCAAAUGGAUAAAGGCAAAACAAACUAAAAACUCUCCAGACUUUAAUGCAGAUGAUAAAUCCAUGAAUAACAAAUAAUGAAUACAAAAUAAAAGACUUUAUGCACAUGAUAACGGUGGUUUU
rnacentral:lncRNA from 13 species